UAUCACAUUGGAUACUAGACAUGAAACAAACUAUCACUCAAACAAUGUGAUUAAGAGUAUUGUAUUAGAGAAUGACCGUAUUGCAUUGUAGUUGCAACUGGAUAGGUUCUCCAACCAAUUCUACUUAGCUUGGGUAACCAUGACAUACUGCUAGGUGUCACUCAUGGUUUGUGGAAGCCCUAAAUGAUUAGCAAACACUAAUCAUUAAGGGAAAAUUGAAAUGUGGUUUCAAUUUCACAAUCGAUCGUUAAGAUUAACAAUCGCCCACUACCUCGCUAAUUGGAACCUAAUGGAUCGUACACCGAGUAAGGAUGUAUGU
rnacentral:lncRNA from 1 species